rnacentral:rRNA from 1 species
UGAGUAACACGUGACUAACCUACCUUCGAGUGGGGAAUAACCUCGGGAAACCGGGGCUAAUACCGCAUAAUAUCCACGGUAGCAAUAUUGUGGAUCAAGCACGCAAGUGGCUUGAAGAGGGGGUCGCGGCUGAUUAGCUAGUUGGUGAGGUAAUGGCUCACCAAGGCUUUGAUCAGUAUCCGGCCUGAGAGGGCGCACGGACACACUGGAACUGAAACACGGUCCAG